rfam:Citrus sinensis cultivar Ridge Pineapple sweet orange scaffold00007_contig_100, whole genome shotgun sequence.
UGCAAUCUAUGAUGUAAAUUAUGUAAAGAUUAUGAUUUUCCGUGAUUAUUAUACAAAAAUCACCAUCUUUCGGCUGAGAUUGCA